AAGAUUUCCUUCGAUUAAUUUACAGCUCAACACAUCAUUUGAUACAGUCUUAAUAUACCACAUAACCACGCAUUUGCUGCCCAUGCAAGAACAAUUUGGAUUAGGAUUUUUUUUUUUUCAUCAUCAUUAUUAGAAUUAUUGCUAUCAAUUGCAGACUUUGCAUUUACAAUAAAUAAAUACAUAAACAGAAAAUUACAACUGACAGGUUAUUAAUGGCUGGCGUGGUUAAUUCUUUUUCCAAAUGAAUGAAUUUUGUUCGAUAAUUGAAAAUAAAAAUCCUCUAUAGACUCAAGACAUUUUUCCACAAAAGAUAACACUUAUUCUGUAUGACAACCAAAUUUUAAACAUAUGUAAUUAUCGAGGAUUUUUUUAAAAUGAUUUUUGUGAGGUGUUGAAGGUUUGAGAGCUUUUCUUAAAGUUAAACCAGUCUGGAAUUGAGGGCUAAUUGUACAAUUACGAAUGUGCCUCUAAACAUGUUUAUUACAAAUUUAGAGCUAUGGAUAUUUUUCAAACGUUAAAUUAUCCUUCACAAAGUUUUAUCUUGUGGUUUCAUGCAUUUUUUUUUUCAAUGAAUCUCUUAUCUACACUUGGCCUUUAGCACAGUCAAGCUAAUAUCUUAAGGUAUGUUAAUGUUAGUGUUAACCUACAUUUGAGCUUUGUGUGAAUUGACACUUGAAGAUUUUAAAAAGCUCAUUUCGGCUGCCGUUUAUUAAAAGCAAAUCCACGAAUAACCCCCUUGAAGCUUCGGAAAACAACUGGACCUGGUCAUUUUCACAGCCACAGAUGUCAGAGUAGGUUCAUUUUUGUUUUAUCGCGGUGAAGGCCACGGUGCUGUUGUCGUUAAAGCCGAACAUCAAAGGCUUGUCAUUGCUACUGAAUACACUACACACCACUGUGAAAGGUUUUAGUCGCUAGUCUAAUUAAUUCGAUAGAAAAAAAUAUAUUAUAAACCUACGACGGACCGCCAAUUUUAAAAAGCGCACUUUUAUUUCUGGGAAUUCUCCAAUAGGCCUCGCAUCCGUUAUUACAUCCCGUGCAGUCUCAGCCAUCCGAUCGGACAAUAGCAGAAAAUAUAGGCUAAAUAUUUCGCACAUAACGCCAAUAAAAUGUAGACGAUAGCAAUCCAAUUACAGCCUUUUGAAACAACGAAUGUGGUGGUUUGAAUAAGGAGAUGUAUUUUUUUGCACUUAC